UACUUUUUUAUUUUGAAACCUUAGCCGUAGGCCACGUUUGUUUCGUAACACGUUUCAAAACUGGUUUUUGGAUUGGAACCAAGAAACCGAUAUCGUAGGUAAAUGUCGCGAAUGGUGUUCUUUACUAUUCGGUAGUUCUGUCUUUGCUCCGGUAAUGAAUGGCGUCAUCGUCUUCGUCGUCGGCAGCGGUCAGGUCAUGGAGGACUGCGUUUCUGACACUGAGGGACGAAACCCUAACAAGUCCUCGUACCGCCACUGCAGUCGGCGCCACCUCUUCCUCUUCCAUUCCCCAACUACUUCAGCAUUUUGUCUUCUCCCAUUCUCAUUCUCUCGUCUCUGCCGCCCCGGAACUUCCUCCUCACGAGGUUGCAUCCGACGUAUUUUUCCUGCUGGAAUUGGUUGCCAAUAGUUGUCUCGGCCCGCAAGAUAUGACCGCUACGUUGUCUCAUACGUCACAAUUGAUUCGUGAUUUAUGUCAUCGUGUUUACUUUGAGAUAAAUUCAUCUUCUUGGACCCUCAUGUUCGACUCUUUUGCAACGAUGCUUGAUUAUCUUCUUGACAAAGCUGCUCCUAUAGCUACCGCUGAUUCUUCCGCUGAUGCUGCUGUAAUUACACCUAUCAUGGACUGCUUGGAGACCAUAAGACGUCUUAUCAUUGUUCAUCAUAAAAAAAGUUCACCACCUGACGAUACCCAACUGGUGAAAUUCCUUCUCCGUGUCAUUGAGAGCUCUCAUGCAGAGUUCAUUAAGUCAUUUCGUUCAAUCACAAACCAAAGAUUUGCUGCUGAAAUAGGAAGGAGAUUACCCAGAUACAGCAGUUUAUGGGAGCUCCAGACUCUCGCCUUUGCUAUGCUUGGUGAAACUGUCUCAAGAUAUGGGCCAUCCAUUCCAGUUGAUGUCUGGAGAUCAUUGAUUGAGAUUCUUAGGAAAGUGAUGGAUUUCUUGGCAUCUAAGAGCUUGCUUGUGGAAGACAGUGUCAUGUCCAGGUUUUAUUCAUCUCUCCUACAUUGUCUGCAUUUGGUUCUUAUGGAUCCUAAAUAUCCCCUUUCUGACCAUGUGGCAAGUUUUGUAGCAGCAUUAAGAAUGUUCUUCACCUAUGGUCUUAAUAGUAGAACACAACUUACAUAUCCAGAUGUUGGUCAUCAGCAGAAGGACCUCCAUAUAUUGAAUAAGACAAGUUUGGAAGAACCUAAAAGAGUAGAACCUGGUCCGUAUAGGCCUCCACACUUGCGCAAAAAGGAAAUUUCAAAUAUGAAGCCGAAGAAAUCUUGGAAUCCUCAAAGUUCAUCAGAUUGUGAAUCUUCUUUGGUUGAUUUCAUGUCAUCGGAUUCAGAUUACAGUGACAGUGACGGAUUUGUUCAAGACACUGAGACUGUUCGGAAAGCCAAGGUCAGAGUAGCUGCAAUUGUUUGCAUUCAGGUGAGCUCACAACAUCAUUUUUUAAAAAAAGUAGCUGCGAUUGUUUGCAUUCAGGAUCUCUGUCAAGCUGAUUCCAAAUCAUUUACUACCCAGUGGACACUGCUUUUGCCAACCAGCGAUGUACUACAACCGAGGAAGUUUGAAGCAACUUUGAUGACUUGCUUGAUGUACGAUCCUUAUUUAAAGGCUCGGAUUGCUUCUGCCUCAGCUCUGGCAGUCAUUUUGGACGGGCCUUCUUCCAUUUUUCUUCAGGUAGCAGAAUACAAAGGAUCUUCUAAGUUUGGAUCUUUUACUGCACUUUCAAGUUCCCUUGGACAGAUACUAAUGCAACUACAUACAGGGAUUCUGCACUUAAUCCAGCGGGAAACUCAUAGUAGAUUGCUGGCCUCCUUAUUCAAGAUUCUCACGCUUUUAGUAGCAUCCACACCAUAUUCGAGAAUGCCGGGAGAGUUGUUGCCAACAGUUAUUACUUCUCUACAAGCAAGGAUCAAUGAAGGGUUUUCUUUCAAAAAUUAUCAGACUGGUCUUCUGGCUGCUGCUGUUGGUUGCUUGACAGCAGCUCUGUCUACUUCACCUUCCUUAGAUGUCAGAGAAAUGCUUUUAAAAGAGACAUCCACAGGUUUCCCGGAGACUGAAAAGAAGUCAAGUGUUCUUUUUACAUUAUUACAGUACUCAGAACAACUAACCAGCCCAAAUAUAUGCUUCGAAUCUCUCCAGGCACUUAAAGCUGUAUCACACAAUUACCCAAACACUAUGUUUGCAUUUUGGGAACGAGUUUCUACCAUUGUUUAUGGCAUAUUGAUGGUAGCAACUCCUGAAUUUCCUUCAAGGCCAUGGAAGGGUCACACUGGAGACCCUGUUGGGUUUAUUGGGGAAAAAGUCAUUACAGCUGCUGUCAAGCUUUUGGAUGAAUGUCUUCGUGCAUUAUCUGGAUUUAAAGGAACUGAAGAUCUCUCAGAUGAUAAACUUACCCCAUUUACUUCUGACUGCAUAAGGAUGAAGAAGGUUUCAUCAGCCCCAUCUUACGAACUAGAUAGCAAAGAAUUUAACAACAACGAACCCAAAGCAUGUCACUCGGGAAUUGAGCAGUGGUCUGAGGCAAUUGAGAAGCAUCUGCCUUUAAUUUUGCGGCAUACUUCUGCAAUGGUGAGAGGUGCAUCAGUUACAUGUUUUGCCGGUAUAACUUCCCAUGUGUUCUUCUCUCUUGUGAAGGAAAAACAAGAUUUCAUUCUCUCUUCAUUAAUUAAUGCUUCUAUAUGUGAUGAGGUGCCAUCAGUUAGGUCUGCUGCCUGUCGAGCCAUUGGUGUCAUCGCAUGUUUUCCUCAAGUUUCCCAGAGUGCAGAGAUCCGUGACAAAUUUAUCCGAGCUGUUGAGAUUAAUACUCGUGAUCCCUUAGUCUCGGUAAGGAUAACAGCCUCUUGGGCUUUGGCCAACAUAUGUGAUUCAAUCCAUUCAUCAAUAGAUGAUCUUCCAUCACAGCAGUCUAAAGAAUCAAAUGUGGACUCUCCAUCAAUUGCAUCAUUAACUGAGUGUGCUUUGCGUCUAACAAAGGAUGGAGACAAGAUAAAAUCAAAUGCUGUGAGGGCUCUUGGGAAUCUCUCAAGAUUUGUUAACUAUACAUGCUUAUCUGGUUCUCAUGAUAAGCCAAUGGAUCGCAUGCGGUUAUCUAUAAAUACUAACAGUAAUGAGGAGUCCACAUCAAGCAAUGAUAUGAAAGGCAGCCAUGGAAAUGCAUCAAAUUCAUUUCGUCCAGGUUCUAUGGGAGAUUUAUGCUGGCUUGAUAGAAUGGUCCAAGCUUUUAUCUCUUGUGUCACAACUGGGAAUGUUAAGGUUCAGUGGAAUGUUUGUCAUGCAUUGAGCAACCUAUUUCUAAAUGAGACAUUAAGACUGCAAGACAUGGAUUGCAAGUGUGGCAUUUCGUAUCGAGAAACUUCAACGUGAUUUCUUGUGGAGUGGAGUGGAGUGGAGUGGGUGAGGAGUUCAAAUUCCACCUAGUCAAGUAGGAGAAGGUAUGUAACGCUAUAUCCAAUGGUGGAUUUAUUUCUUUCACUUUUCCGGGUUGCAAGUGCGAAAGAUGUUUCAGUGGUGGAAGUCACGGUGAUAUCGGGGGAGCAAAUCCAGUGGAACAUCAAUUUUAGUCGAGCUGCACAAGAUUGGGAAAUGAGUAGUUUCAAAGCCUUUUUCAGCCUUUUGUACUCCAUAAAACCAAGCAACCUGCAAGAAGAUAUGUUGUGGUGGAUACCUAUAGGUAAAGGCUCUUUCUCGGAUCACUCUUUUUAUAAGUCCCUCACACAAGUGCCCAAUAUUCAGUUUCCAUGGAGAAGGCUUUGGAGACAUAAGGCGCCUCCCAAAGCAGCUUUUUUUUUUUUUUGUGUGGACAGCUUCCUUGGGUAAGAUCCUCACAACCAACAAUUUGAGGAAGCGUACGGUGAUCAUCUCAGAUUGGUGUUGUAUGUGUAGGAACGGAGGUGAAUCUGUGGACCAUCUCCUACUACACUAUGAGACAGCUAGAGGGUUGUGGAAUGAGGUAUUCAGUAGAUUAGACUUGGCCUGGGUUAUGCUUGAGACAGUGGUGGCAGUUCUGGCCAGCUGGACAAAUCUAAGAGCAUCUAACAGAUUAAAGUUGUGUGUAAGAUGAUCCCUAUUUGCAUCAUGGGGUGUUUGUGGUAGAAGCGCAAUGAACGGAUGUUCAAAGACAGAGAGAUCGAUGGAGGAACUAAAAGCUUUCUUUAUUAGAACUCUAUGUACUUGGGUCAUUGGCGUUGAUUUUAAUGGCUUAGAUCUACAUGAUUUUCUUGUCUCUAUUGCGCCUACUUAGUUAGGGCAUUCUUUGUACUGUACCUGCCUAUUCUUUGAUCAAUAAAAUUUGUUUACUUAUAUAUAUAUAAAGAAGUUCUUGAUUACCUAUCAAAAAAAUAUAUACUUCAUCUAGGUGUGCAACUGUAAAACUUCUUGAUUCAGCAUUUAAGAAACUUACAUGCACCUGUACCUGAUGGUUGAAUGUGGGGGGAUAGGAACUUGCACAGUUUAUGUAUGUAUAUCUGCUGAGAUGUUAAUUAAAUGAUUUAAGUCACUAUUUCCCUUUAUAUUGAGAUUUUGGAGAAAAUUAGUUAUUUAACUUGAUAUCAAAGCAGAAAUCCUGAGUUUGAACUCCAACUUCAUAUUAUUCCUCCCAUUUGAGUUAAAUAUCUCAAGUGAUAGGCCCCACUUAUUGAGGGGACUCUGGCUUACACGUAAAGGGAGUUUUGAUGAAAAUUAUCAAGUUCAUUGUUUCCCAUAAGUUUUAAGUUUUUGAGAUGAUUGCUGAUUUAAAAAUAGAGAGACUGUAAAUUUAAGUGCAAAUUGGGGAAUGGUUUCAGUGCUAGCUAUAUUUGUGUAUGAAAAAUUUGUUGGUGUAUCCAUGACCAGGUAGUGCAAGUGUCCCAUUGGUUUCAUUCCAAUACUUGUCAUUUUAGAUAUUUUGGUAACCAAAAUUAUCUUCUCUCUUCAUCAUUUGCCACUUGAAGUCAUGGUUGUAUUCAAUGGUUUUCUAUCUUGAGAAUACGUGGGGCUAGAUAACACCAUGCAAAGUAGACUACACUAGUUUGCAUGAAGAGAGCAGAAGCUAGUGCACUAAGUGAACGGCAGUAUAUUACACGAAACAUUUGAGCCUUUUGUACAUUUAAGUGGCAACUUGUGGGUCCCCAUCAUGCUACAGAAAAUUAGUUUAUCAUGUUCACUGUUUGGCACGUUUUUUCUUGAGGUAGUGUCACUGAUAUAUAUCUCCUGAUUAUCUUUCCUCUGAAUAGUUGUAUGCUAUAAUGACAAUAGACGCUAAUAAUUUGGGAAAAAAGUGGUGAUGCAGACCUGCCUUAGGGACUAUUUGGAUACUUAGAAUAUCUCAAUUACCUAUGAAUAGUAGUAAAAUGGUUUGAGUUAAGAUGCUUUAUUGAAUUUUGGGAAAGGAGAGAGAAAAAGUUGAAUAAAAUAGUUAAAAUAUUGUUUGUUUUGAAAUUUGAAAAAGUAGUG